CCCAGGAGGUGGAGCUUGCAGUGAGCCGAGAUUGUGCCACUGCACUCCAGCCUGGGGGACAGAGUGAGACUCCAUCUCAAAAAACAAAACUAAACUAAACUAAAGUAAACUAAAGGUGAUUGCAGAUUGCAGAUUUGGCUGCUCAGGAUAUAGUGGUGCGGUUAUUAGUUUUCAACAAUGCUAAUCCCGAUUGCCAGGCUGCUCUGCAACCUAUUAGAGGGAAAGCACAUUUAGUUGAUUAUAUCAAGGCCUGUGAUGGUAUCUGCAUCAGGCUGCUCUGCUAGCCCAGGCAAUGGCAGGACUGAGAAUGGAUAAAGGAAAUACAUCAUUUCCUGGAGCUUUUAACUGUUUUAACUGUGGGAAGCAUGGGCAUGCUAAAAAAUGUAGAAAAAAUCAGUGAGUCAGGCUACCAGAUAGGGGAAAAAAGAAAACUGCUGAGCCUGAAGAAUGUCCAAAAUGUAAAAAAGCAAAACAUUGGGCUAAUCGGUGUCAUUCUAAAUUUGAUAAAGAUGGGAACCUCAUUUCAGGAAAUGUCAUGGGGGGCCUGUCCCAGGCCCUGUUCCAAACCAGGGCAUUACCGGCUCAGGUGAUUCCCUCACCCCUGUACAAUGUCUGCCCCCUGCCACAGCCGGUAGUGCUGCAGUAGAUUUAUGCUACAUGAAAGCUGUGAGCCUUUUGCCUGGAGAAUCCCCGCAAAAGGUCCCAUCAGGAGUCUAUGGACCCUCGCCAGUGGGUAUGAUAGGAUUACUUCUAGGAAAGUCUAGUUUACAUUUAAAAGGAGUACAAAUACAUACAGGAGGCAUUGAUUCAAAUUACAAUGGGGAAAUUGACAUUGCUAUAUCUACUUCUGUUGCCUGGAAAGCAGAGCCAGGAGAGCAUAUAGCACAGCUCCUGAUUAUGCUGUAUGUGGAAAUGGGGAAAAGUGAAAUUAAAUGAACAGGAGGAUUUGGAAGCACAAAUAACCAAGGCAAAGCAGUUUAUUGGGUAAAUCAAAUUACUGAUAAAUGUCCUACCUGUGAAAUAACUAAUCAGGGAAAGAAAUUUAAAGGUUUGGUAGAUACAGGAGCGGACAUUUUAACCAUUUCUCUACAGCACUGGCCAUCCACUGGCCAAUUCAACCUGCUCAUUUUAACAUAGUUGGAGCUGGUAAAGCCCCUGAAGAAUAUCAAAGUAGUUAUAUUUUGCGUUGUGAAGGGCCCAGUGGACAACCUGGGACUAUUCAACCAAUUGUAACUUCUAUACCUAUAAAUUUAUGGGAGAGUGAUUUAUUACAACAAUGGGGAACACAAGUUCUAAUUCCAGAACAAUUAUAUAGCCCUCAAAGUCAACAUAUGAUGCAUGAAAUGGGGUAUGUCCCUGGUAUGGGACUAGGAAAAAAUUUGCAAGAUUUGAAGGAACUGCUUCAAGCGGAAAGACAAAAUUCCCACCAAGGUUUAGGAUAUCAUUUUUUAUGGUGUCCAUAGUUAAGCCUCCAGAACCUAUACCUUUAAAAUAGUUGACAGAUAAGCCAAUUUGGAUAGAACAAUGGCUGCUAAGUAAAGAUAAACUGGAGGCUUUAGAAGACUUAAUUACUGAACAAUUAGAAAAAGGACACAUAGCUCCAACAUUUUCCCCUUGGAAUUCUCUGCUUUUCGUAAUUAAGAAAAAACCAGGUAAAUGGAGAAUGUUGACAGAUCUUAGAGCCAAUAAUUCAGUUAUACAACCUAUGGGGACAUUACAGCCAGGAUUGCCUCCUCCUGCUCUUUUUGGCCAAUUCCAAAAAAUUGGCCUUUAAUCAUUGUAGAUUUAAAAGACUGUUUCUUUACUAUCCCCUUAGCUGAGCAGACUGUGAAUGGUUUGCACUUACAAUUCCUGCAGUAAACAACCUGCAGCCUGCUAAGCAUUUUCAUUGGGAAGUGUUGCCACAAGGCACAUUAAACAGUCCAACAAUUUGCCAGACGUAUGUGGGGCAAGCAAUUGAACCUACUUGUAAAAAAUUUUCACAGUGUUACAUUAUUCGUUAUAUGGACGAUAUAAUUUGUGCUGCCCCCACUCGAGAAAUAUUACUCCAAUGUUAUGAUCACUUGCAAAAUUCAAUUUCUUGCACUGGUUUAAUUAUAGCUCCUGACAAAAUUCAGACUACUACUCCUUAUUCCUACUUGGGGACCUUAGUAAAUGACACUACAAUAGUGCCACAGAAAGUAACCAUACAUAGGGAUCAAUUGAAAACAUUAAAUGACUUUCAAAAAUUACUAGGAGACAUUAAUUGGAUACGACCUGCUCUAGGCAUUCCUACCUAUGCCAUGAGUAAUCUAUUUUCUAUCUUUAGAGGAGAUCCUAGUCUCACUAGCCCUGGGCAAUUAACAAAAGAAGCUGAGACAGAGUUACAUUUGCUUGAAAAGCAAGUCCAUAAGGCUCAAAUAAAUAGAAUAGAUCCAGAGAAGACUCUAGAUUUGCUAAUUUUUCCAAUUCAGCAUUCACCUACUGGUGUUAUUGUCCAAGAGCAGUACUUAGUAGAAUGGCUUUUUCUUUCACAUACUAAUUCACAGACUCUAACUCCUUAUUUGGAUCAAAUCACUACUAGGAUAGGAAAUGGGAGAACUCAGAUUGUUAAAUUACAUGGAUAUGAUCCUGGAAAAAUUAUUGUCCCUCUCAUGAAGGCACAAAUACAGCAAGCUUUUAUAAAUAGUCUUGCUUGGCAAACCCAUUUAGUUGAUUUUGUGUGUAUUCUUGAUAAUCAUUUUCCUAAAAUGAAACUGUUUCAAUUUUUGAAAUUAACUGAUUGGAUCCUCCCUAGAAUAACUAAAUUUAAACCAAUUGAAGGUGCUGAGAAUGUUUUACACAUUGGUCUAGUAAUGGUAAAGAAUAUUAACACAUUACUGGCAUCCCAUAUAAUUCUCAAGAACAAGUCAUUAUAGAACAAAUGAAUCUCUCCCUGAAACAGCAGUUGCAAAAACAGAAAGGGGGAAAUAGGGAUUAUGGGACAGCCCAUACACAGUUGAAUCUAGCAUUAUUCACUUUAAAUUUUUUGAGCCUGCCUAAAAGCCAGAUGUUAUCAGCAGCUGAACAACAUCUACAGAAACCAGCUGCAAAGACAGAAGCAGAACAACUGGUUUGGUGGAGAGAUCCAAUAACAAAAAGUUGGGAAAUAAGUAAAAUAAUAACUUGGGAUAGAGGUUAUGCUUGUGCAGCUGAUUUGGAUAGCAUCAAGACAGCUGAAGACUUAUCAUGAGCCAGACGCCGAGGAAGAGAUUCCAGGAGGAUCCUGAGGACCCCCCCGUUGCGGCCAUGUCGAGACUGAUGCUGAGGAGGACCCCAACUGUCACGAGCAACACCCAUCGAACACAGCCAUCUACUUGGGGACAGAUCAGGAAGCUGUCACAGAUGGUGGAAGAAAACCUGAGGAAAAGUGGACAACCAGUCACAACGAGUAAUUUAAUGAUAGCUAUGAUAGCGGUGAUCACCAUUGCUCCUGCAGAUGCGGAUCCCGACUUCUGUGAGAAGUAGCUCACUGUGACAAAGCUGCCUUUGCUUUUAUCACUUUGCAAAACAAAAAAGGGAGGCAUGUUGGGAACAGGCCCCCAAAACUGGC